UCAUUAUUGAAUAAACUUGAACAGGCUGUUGCUGGUCCUCCUGGGGGCAUGUGCACGCUUGUCAUCUUUAUCAUUUCUCCAAACUGUGCACCUCUUGUAGACCUGGAGCUGGAUUUCAUUCGAGUUGGGACUGCUGUGCUUCACAAGCCAGCUUUGCCUUGCAGGUCUAUGUUCACAAAAUCUGUUUAGAAUGGUUGGCCUAUAUAUAUAAAAGUUAUACAACUUUCAGCAACGGAUCUCUUGGCUCUCGCAUCGAUGAAGAACGCAGCGAAAUGCGAUAAGUAAUGUGAAUUGCAGAAUUCAGUGAAUCAUCGAAUCUUUGAACGCAUCUUGCGCUCCUUGGUAUUCCGAGGAGCAUGCCUGUUUGAGUGUCAUUUUAACUUCUCAACCAUGUCUUUUGAUAUGGCUUGGAUGUGGGGGUUUUAUAUUUUGCAGGCUUUGUAUUAAGUCGGCUCCCCUGAAACGCAUUAGUGGUAUCUGAGCAGAACUGCUACUAUUAGGUGUGAUAACUAUCUAUGCCUUUUGGUAUUCUGCAUGAAACAGAUUGUGCUGCUUCCAACUGUGCACAUUUUUGUGUUUGAUAAAUUUGACCUC
rnacentral:misc_RNA from 1 species